CCUACGGGUGGCAGCAGUAGGGAAUUUUGCGCAAUGGACGAAAGUCUGACGCAGCAAUACCGCGUGUGGGAAGAAGCUCCGUGGAGUGUAAACCACUGUCGGAUGGGAAGAAUUAAUGACGGUACCAUCAAAGGAAGCACCGGCUAACUCUGUGCCAGCAGCCGCGGUAAUACAGAGGGUGCAAGCGUUGUCCGGAUUUAUUGGGCGUAAAGCGUCUGUAGGCUGCUUUUCAAGUCUGAAGUGAAAGAAUGGAGCUCAACUCCAUACCCGCUUUGGAAACUGUUAAGCUAGAGACAGCUAGGGGUUCGUGGAAUUUCCAGUGUAGCGGUGAAAUGCGUAGAUAUUGGAAGGAACACCAGAGGCGAAGGCGGCGAACUGGAGCUGUUCUGACGCUGAGAGACGAAAGCCAGGGGAGCGAAAGGGAUUAGAUACCCUAGUAGUC
rnacentral:rRNA from 1 species